rnacentral:rRNA from 1 species
CCUACGGGAGGCUGCAGUGAGGAAUAUUGGUCAAUGGUCGGGAGACUGAACCAGCCAAGCCGCGUGAGGGAUGAAGGUACAGAGUAUCGUAAACCUCUUUUGUCAGGGAACAAAGGCGGGGACGUGUCCCCGGAUGAGUGUACCUGAAGAAAAAGCAUCGGCUAACUCCGUGCCAGCAGCCGCGGUAAUACGGAGGAUGCGAGCGUUAUCCGGAUUGAUUGGGUUUAAAGGGUGCGCAGGCGGUCUGUUAAGUCAGCGGUCAAAGCCCGGGGCUCAACCCCGGCCCGCCGUUGAAACUGGCAGUCUCGAGUUGGAGAGAAGUAUGCGGAAUGCGCGGUGUAGCGGUGAAAUGCAUAGAUAUCGCGCAGAACUCCGAUUGCGAAGGCAGCAUGCCGGCUCCACACUGACGCUGAGGCACGAAAGCGUGGGUAUCGAACAGGAUUAGAUACCCGGGUAGUC